GCAGUGGUGGUUCAGUGGUAGAAUUCUUGCCUUCCAUGCAGGAGACCCAGGUUUGAUUCCCAGCCAACUCA
rnacentral:tRNA from 1 species